rnacentral:lncRNA from 1 species
AGGGUUGCCGUGCAGGGAGUGUCAGCCACGUCUAGCGCACAGUCCCAGGCCCCAGGGCGAAGGCGGCCAGGGGAAAUGGGGCUCAGGGAUUGCUAAGCAAACGCAUCACUGGUGGUCUCCAGCGCCUGCGGAGGCAGUGCCUGAUGGCUGAGAAGAAUCGCAGAGGACUAGAAAAGGUUUGAGUCUGAAAUUAUCUGGCACAGAGGAUUAAAGCUCAGAAAUAAGUGAUUGCGAAACAGUUCAACUUCCCUGUUAAUGACAACAACAACAGCAACACGCUUAUUAAUUCCUAGCUGGAGCAUCAAGCUUAUGAAGAUUUCCAAGACUUUAUUGUUGACCCUUGUUGAAGAGAACUCUACUUGGCUUCUUUCCUGGCUUUCCUAAAUUGUUCACAUACAAGAUAAACUACCGUCAUUCAGACUUACAGAAGUGAGAAGACAAGCUGAACCAAAUGUAAAAUGGUAGCAAUUUACAGUAGUUCUCCCUGUGUCCCUUUAUCCAAGCAACACAAUACAAUUGAAUUUAUAUG